GGCACUGGCAACUGAAAUUUUGUAGCCUGUCAAAAGGUAACAAAUCAUUUUUAGUUUUCUCUCGGCAACCGUCGCAUUCAGACCUCAAAAUCGUCAUUUAAAUACGCCAGGAUGAAUACCCUUUUAGAAAAAAAUGUGUCAAGUUUUAACGGAAUUAAAUUUGAAUUAAAAUAGAACAAAUUAACAGCAACAUAAUUUAACCAAAACGCAGCAAACAUAAAACAGUUUGCCACAGAUUUCCAGGGCUCUGGUCAGGCAGCUCAUGCAGUAGAUGUGGCCGCACAAAGUGAACCUGGCACCACCUCCCUAUCGAAGCAGAGACGGCACUCAGUGAACGCCCAGUUCUGCAAUUCCUCCAGUUCAUGUCUCCAGUUCAUCGUCUCCAGUAAGAUCGAUUGUGAUGAUAUCGGCUUCUUUAAUUUUAAUAGGCAACGGAUUGCGGCUGUCCAUUUUAAUAAACAAUUUUAAUUACAAAUUACAAAAAAAAAAAUAUAUAAAAUGAACAACCAACCAAAAAACACACAGAAAUA